rnacentral:rRNA from 1 species
CACGUAGGGCGCAAGCGUUGUCCGGAAUUAUUGGGCGUAAAGAGCUCGUAGGCGGUCUGUUGCGUCCGCUGUGAAAACUCGGGGCUUAACCCCGAGCCUGCAGUGGAUACGGGCAGACUAGAGGUAGGUAGGGGAGAAUGGAAUUCCCGGUGUAGCGGUGAAAUGCGCAGAUAUCGGGAGGAACACCGGUGGCGAAGGCGGCGACCUGGGUAGAUACUGACGCUGAGGUGCGAAAGCGUGGGGAGCAAACAGG